GGGUUGUGAGGUUAAGCGACUAAGCGUACACGGUGGAUGCCCUGGCAGUCAGAGGCGAUGAAGGACGUGCUAAUCUGCGAUAAGCGUCGGUAAGGUGAUAUGAACCGUUAUAACCGGCGAUUUCCGAAUGGGGAAACCCAGUGUGAUUCGUCACACUAUCAUUAACUGAAUCCAUAGGUUAAUGAGGCGAACCGGGGGAACUGAAACAUCUAAGUACCCCGAGGAAAAGAAAUCAACCGAGAUUCCCCCAGUAGCGGCGAGCGAACGGGGAGCAGCCCAGAGCCUGAAUCAGUGUGUGUGUUAGUGGAAGCGUCUGGAAAGGCGCGCGAUACAGGGUGACAGCCCCGUACACAAAAAUGCACAUGCUGUGAGCUCGAUGAGUAGGGCGGGACACGUGGUAUCCUGUCUGAAUAUGGGGGGACCAUCCUCCAAGGCUAAAUACUCCUGACUGACCGAUAGUGAACCAGUACCGUGAGGGAAAGGCGAAAAGAACCCCGGCGAGGGGAGUGAAAAAGAACCUGAAACCGUGUACGUACAAGCAGUGGGAGCACAGAGCAAUCUGUGUGACUGCGUACCUUUUGUAUAAUGGGUCAGCGACUUAUAUUCUGUAGCAAGGUUAACCGAAUAGGGGAGCCGAAGGGAAACCGAGUCUUAACUGGGCGUUA
rnacentral:rRNA from 1 species